rnacentral:rRNA from 1 species
UCCAUGGCCAUACCACCCUGAAUGUAUCCAAUCUCAUCUAAUCUUAGAAGCUAAGCAGGGUCGGGCCUGGUUAGUACUUGGAUAGGAGAAAGCUAAUCCUUGACCUAAAAGGUAACCCAUAGUUGCCUAUGAAA